ACUCAAAGGAAUAGACGGGGACCCGCACAAGCAGCGGAGCAUGUGGUUUAAUUCGAAGCAACGCGAAGAACCUUACCAAGACUUGACAUCGCCUGACCGCCCCGGAGACGGGGUUUCGGUAGCAAUACCGCAGGUAGACAGGUGGUGCAUGGUUGUCGUCAGCUCGUGUCGUGAGAUGUUCGGUUAAGUCCGGCAACGAGCGCAACCCCUGUGAUAUGUUGCCAAUAUUAAGUUAGGAACUCAUAUCAGACUGCCGUGGAUAACACGGAGGAAGGUGGGGACGACGUCAAAUCAUCAUGCCCCUUACGUCUUGGGCUACACACGUGCUACAAUGGCUGUUACAAAGAGCAGCGAGCCGGUAACGGUAAGCGAAUCUCAGAAAAACAGUCUCAGUUCAGAUUGUGGGCUGCAACCCGCCCACAUGAAGCAGGAGUUGCUAGUAAUCCCGAAUCAGAAUGUCGGGGUGAAUGCGUUCCCGGGUCUUGUACACACCGCCCGU
rnacentral:rRNA from 1 species